GUCAGUGUGACCUAAUGGAAAGAGAAUUGGGUUUAGAAUCAAAAGUUUGGGUUCAAGUCCUAACUCUGAUA
rnacentral:tRNA from 1 species